rnacentral:rRNA from 1 species
UGGGGAAUUUUGGACAAUGGGCGAAAGCCUGAUCCAGCCAUGCCGCGUGAGUGAAGAAGGCCUUCGGGUUGUAAAGCUCUUUCGGCCGGAAAGAAAUCGCGCAGGAUAAUACUCUGCGUGGAUGACGGUACCGGAAGAAGAAGCACCGGCUAACUACGUGCCAGCAGCCGCGGUAAUACGUAGGGUGCGAGCGUUAAUCGGAAUUACUGGGCGUAAAGCGUGCGCAGGCGGUUAUGUAAGACAGAUGUGAAAUCCCCGGGCUCAACCUGGGAACUGCGUUUGUGACUGCAUAACUAGAGUACGGCAGAGGGAGGUGGAAUUCCGCGUGUAGCAGUGAAAUGCGUAGAGAUGCGGAGGAACACCGAUGGCGAAGGCAGCCUCCUGGGCCAGUACUGACGCUCAUGCACGAAAGCGUGGGGAGCAAACA